GAUGUACGCUGGCGGCGUGUCUAAUACAUCCUAGUCGAGCGAACAGACGAGGAGCUUGCUCCUCUGACGUUAGCGGCGGACGGGUGAGUAACACGUGGAUAACCUACCUAUAAGACUGGGAUAAAUUCGGGAAACCGGAGCUAAUACCGGAUAAUAUAUUGAACCGCAUGGUUCAAUAGUGCAAGACGGUCUUGCUGUCACUUAUAGAUGGAUCCGCGCCGCAUUAUCUAGUUGGUAAGGUAACGGCGUACCAAGGCAACGAUGCGUAGCCGACCCGCGAGGGUGAUCGGCCACACUGUAACUGAGACACGGUCCAGCCUCCUACGGAAGCCAGGGGUAGGGAAACUUCCGCAAUGGGAGAAGGCGUGACGGAGCAACGCCGCGUGAGUGAUGAAGGUCUUCGGAUCGUAAAACUCUGUUAUUAGGGAAGAACAAAUGUGUAAGUAACUAUGCACGUCUUGACGGUACCUAAUCAGAAGGCCACGGCUAACUACGUG
rnacentral:rRNA from 1 species